rfam:Leptotrichia buccalis DSM 1135, complete genome.
AAAAAGGCUCUUUUUCAGUCAAAGAGCCACUAUCUUUUAUUGGAAAAUUGUU